UGUAUACAGAAAUAUCUGAUUCGCAUCAGUAUUCACACCCCAGAGUCAAUUUCUUUGUAGAAGGAUCUUCGGCAGUGAUUACAGCUCUGAGUCGUCUUGGGUAUGUCUGUAUCCAUUUUUGUUUUUAUACUUAGAUGGGGAGCGGCAGUGAACACCAAUCUUCAAGGCGUUCCACAGAUUUUCAAUGACAUUCAAGUCUGUGACAAACAAGGACUAACCACUUCUAGCCAGAGGUAAACAGAACAGGAGAAGACCUAACCACUCCUAGCCAGAGGAAAACAGAACAGGAGAAGAUCUAACCUCUCCUAACCAGAGGUAAACAGAACAGGAGAAUACCUAACCACUCCUAACCAGAGUGAUAGCGACUCCGACUGGGAGCCCCCGGUGCCAAGCUGCCUGCUCUACCUCUGCCCCCAGUGGUGUUCAUAUGCCACAGUUCAUUACUGCAGGCAUGACUGUGCCUCAGGUCCAAAAGGGCACAGCAUGGAGGCUUCGUUGUGUUCUGUGUCGCAUGAACUCCACCACUUGUUCAGUUUGCCCCUGCUUUACAUCAGAAAGAGACUGCUAUGGGACAUGUCACAUGCAGCAAAAUAUUGUGUCGAGGACUUCCAAAGGGUGUACUGUUUUUAAAAAAUAUUUAUUUCUAAUAUUUAAAAAAAAAUUGUGUGUGUGUGUGUUAGAAUUGCUUUUUGAUAUGUUGUAUAUAGUUAUUUGCACUGUUGUAUAUAGUUAUAGGUCAGUUCACCAAUUUGGCCACUUGGGUACACCUGGGUGACUUCAUGCUAAAUGUCAUGUAGCUCACCCAUUCCUGAAGUUAUCAGUCUGAAACAUUGCACACCUACAGUUGCCCUCUUGUGUUAUCCAUCAAAAUGAUCUCCAG
ensembl:lncRNA